AUACGGAGGGUCCAAGCGUUAUCCGGAAUCAUUGGGUUUAAAGGGUUCGUAGGCGGGUCAAUAAGUCAGAGGUGAAAUCUUGCAGCUUAACUGUAAAAUUGCCUUUGAAACUGUUGACCUUGAAUUACUGUGAAGUGGUUAGAAUAUGUAGUGUAGCGGUGAAAUGCUUAGAGAUUACAUAGAAUACCGAUUGCGAAGGCAGAUCACUAACAGUAUAUUGACGCUGAUGAACGAAAGCGUGGGUAGCGAACGGGAUUAGAUACCCUAGUAGUCC
rnacentral:rRNA from 1 species